rnacentral:rRNA from 1 species
AGUAACGCGUGGAUAACCUGCCUUACACUGGGGGAUAACACUUAGAAAUAGGUGCUAAUACCGCAUAAGCGCACAGAGCCGCAUGGCUCAGUGUGAAAAACUCCGGUGGUGUAAGAUGGAUCCGCGUCUGAUUAGCUGGUUGGCGGGGUAGAAGCCCACCAAGGCGACGAUCAGUAGCCGGCCUGAGAGGGUGAACGGCCACAUUGGGACUGAGACACGGCCCAAACUCCUACGGGAGGCAGCAG